rnacentral:rRNA from 1 species
AGUGAACGCUGGCGGUAGGCCUAACACAUGCAAGUCGAACGGCAGCACAGGAGAGCUUGCUCUCUGGGUGGCGAGUGGCGGACGGGUGAGGAAUACAUCGGAAUCUACUCUGUCGUGGGGGAUAACGUAGGGAAACUUACGCUAAUACCGCAUACGACCUACGGGUGAAAGCAGGGGAUCUUCGGACCUUGCGGGAUUGAAUGAGCCGAUGUCGGAUUAGCUAGUUGGCGGGGGAAAGGCCCACCAAGGCGCCGAUCCGUAGCUGGUCUGAGAGGAUGAUCGGCCACACUGGAACUAAGACACGGUCCAGACUCCUACGGGAGGCAGCAGUGGGGAAUAUUGGACAAUGGGCGCAAGCCUGAUCCAGCCAUACCGCGUGGGUGAGGAAGGCCUUCGGGUUGUAAAGCCCUUUUGUUGGGAAAGAAAUCCAGCUGGCUAAUACCCGGUUGGGAUGACGGUACCCAAAGAAUAAGCACCGGCUAACUUCGUGCCAGCCGCCGCAGUAA